rnacentral:rRNA from 1 species
GGGGGACCUUCGGGCCUCUUGCCAUCGGAUGUGCCCAGAUGGGAUUAGCUAGUAGGUGGGGUAACGGCUCACCUAGGCGACGAUCCCUAGCUGGUCUGAGAGGAUGACCAGCCACACUGGAACUGAGACACGGUCCAGACUCCUACGGGAGGCAGCAGUGGGGAAUAUUGCACAAUGGGCGCAAGCCUGAUGCAGCCAUGCCGCGUGUAUGAAGAAGGCCUUCGGGUUGUAAAGUACUUUCAGCGGGGAGGAAGGGAGUAAAGUUAAUACCUUUGCUCAUUGACGUUACCCGCAGAAGAAGCACCGGCUAACUCCGUGCCAGCAGCCGCGGUAAUACGGAGGGUGCAAGCGUUAAUCGGAAUUACUGGGCGUAAAGCGCACGCAGCCGGAUGU